rnacentral:rRNA from 2 species
GAAUGCUGACAUAAGUAACGAUAAAGCGGGUGAAAAGCCCGCUCGCCGGAAGACCAAGGGUUCCUGUCCAACGUUAAUCGGGGCAGGGUGAGUCGACCCCUAAGGCGAGGCCGAAAGGCGUAGUCGAUGGGAAACGGGUUAAUAUUCCCGUACUUGGUGUUACUGCGAAGGGGGGACGGAGAAGGCUAUGUUGGCCGGGCGACGGUUGUCCCGGUUUAAGCGUGUAGGUGUGUGUUCCAGGUAAAUCCGGUUCACUUUAACACUGAGGCGUGACGACGAGGCACUACGGUGCUGAAGCAACAAAUGCCCUGCUUCCAGGAAAAGCCUCUAAGCAUCAGGUAACAUCAAAUCGUACCCCAAACCGACACAGGUGGUCAGGUAGAGAAUACCAAGGCGCUUGAGAGAACUCGGGUGAAGGAACUAGGCAAAAUGGUGCCGUAACUUCGGGAGAAGGCACGCUGACACGUAGGUGAAGUGAUUUACUCAUGGAGCUGAAGUCAGUCGAAGAUACCAGCUGGCUGCAACUGUUUAUUAAAAACACAGCACUGUGCAAACACGAAAGUGGACGUAUACGGUGUGACGCCUGCCCGGUGCCGGAAGGUUAAUUGAUGGGGUCAGCGCAAGCGAAGCUCCUGAUCGAAGCCCCGGUAAACGGCGGCCGUAACUAUAACGGUCCUAAGGUAGCGAAAUUCCUUGUCGGGUAAGUUCCGACCUGCACGAAUGGCGUAAUGAUGGCCAGGCUGUCUCCACCCGAGACUCAGUGAAAUUGAACUCGCUGUGAAGAUGCAGUGUACCCGCGGCAAGACGGAAAGACCCCGUGAACCUUUACUAUAGCUUGACACUGAACAUUGAGCCUUGAUGUGUAGGAUAGGUGGGAGGCUUUGAAGCGUGGACGCCAGUCUGCGUGGAGCCGACCUUGAAAUACCACCCUUUAAUGUUUGAUGUUCUAACGUGGACCCGUUA